rnacentral:rRNA from 1 species
UUAGUGCAAAAUCGACUCUGUCGAAUAAAAUUCUAGGUAGAAGUAUGAUAAUGACAUUAUCUAUCUAUGUGUCUUGACCAAAUUACGUGCCAGCAAUCGCGGUAAUACGUAAAAGACUAGUGUUAUUCAUCUUUAAUAGGUUUAAAGGGUACUUAGACGGUAAAUCAAGCCCGAAAAGGGAACUAAUGUACUAGAGUUUGAUGUAAGGAAGUAUAAAAGUACUGUUGGUGUAGAGAUAAAAUUCUAUCAUACCAAACAUGGCACAGGUUUAGGCGAAAGCAUCUUCUUAUGUAAUAACUGACGUUGAAGGACGAAGGCUUUGUGUCUCGAACAGGAUUAGAUACCCCAGUAGUCUAAGCAGACAAUGAUGAAUGUCAUAGAUUAGAUUUAAUUUAUUCUAUAAAUGAAAGUGUAAGCAUUCCACCUCAAGAGUAAUUUGGCAACAUUGGAACUGAAAUCAUUAGACCGUUUCUGAAACCAGUAGUGAAGUAUGUUGUUUAAUUAGAUGGUCCGCAAAAAACCUUACCACAAUUUGAAUUAAUUAUAUGUUUACAAGCGUUGCACGGCUGUCUUCAGUUAAUGUCGUGAGAUUUUGGUUAGUUCCAUUAAAUUAACGUAAACCCUUACUUUAUUUUUAUAUAAAGUAGUUCACCGCUAUA